rnacentral:tRNA from 1 species
CAAAGAAUAGUUUAAUUUAAAAUAUUAAUUUUGGAGAUUAAUGAUGAAGUUUAUUUUUCUUUGA